UGCAUAUCAAAAAGCGGAGGAAAAGAAACCAACAGGGAUUGCCUUAGUAGCGGCGAGUGAAGCGGCAAAAGCUCAAAUUUGAAAUCUGGCGCCUUCGGUGUCCGAGUUGUAAUUUGAAGAUUGUAACCUUGGGGUUGGCUCUUGUCUAUGUUUCUUGGAACAGGACGUCACAGAGGGUGAGAAUCCCGUGCGAUGAGAUGCCCAAUUCUAUGUAAGGUGCUUUCGAAGAGUCGAGUUGUUUGGGAAUGCAGCUCUAAGUGGGUGGUAAAUUCCAUCUAAAGCUAAAUAUUGGCGAGAGACCGAUAGCGAACAAGUACAGUGAUGGAAAGAUGAAAAGAACUUUGAAAAGAGAGUGAAAAAGUACGUGAAAUUGUUGAAAGGGAAGGGUUUGAGAUCAGACUCGAUAUUUUGUGAGCCUUGCCUUCGUGGCGGGGUGACCCGCAGCUUAUCGGGCCAGCAUCGGUUUGGGCGGUAGGAUAAUGGCGUAGGAAUGUGACUUUACUUCGGUGAAGUGUUAUAGCCUGCGUUGAUGCUGCCUGCCUAGACCGAGGACUGCGAUUUUAUCAAGGAUGCUGGCAUAAUGAUCCCAAACCGCCCGUCUUGAACCACGGACCA
rnacentral:rRNA from 1 species